rnacentral:tRNA from 10 species
GGGGCUGUAGCUCAGUUGGGAGAGCGCUUGAAUGGCAUUCAAGAGGUCAGGGGUUCGAUUCCCCUCAGCUCCACCA